AUUGAACGCUGGCGGCAUGCUUUACACAUGCAAGUCGAACGGUAACAGGCCUUCGGGUGCUGACGAGUGGCGAACGGGUGAGUAAUGCAUCGGAACGUACCCAGAGGUGGGGGAUAACGCAGCGAAAGCUGUGCUAAUACCGCAUGUGAUCUGAGGAUGAAAGCGGGGGACUGAGCAGCAAUGUUUGGCCUCGCGCCUUUGGAGCGGCCGAUGUCGGAUUAGCUAGUUGGUGGGGUAAAGGCCUACCAAGGCGACGAUCCGUAGCUGGUCUGAGAGGACGACCAGCCACACUGGGACUGAGACACGGCCCAGACUCCUACGGGAGGCAGCAGUGGGGAAUUUUGGACAAAGGGCGCAAGCCUGAUCCAGCAAUGCCGCGUGCGGGAAGAAGGCCUUCGGGUUGUAAACCGCUUUUGGCAGGAACGAAACGGUGUCCGCUAAUACCGGGCGCUAAUGACGGUACCUGCAGAAUAAGCACCGGCUAACUACGUG
rnacentral:rRNA from 1 species